rnacentral:rRNA from 1 species
AGGUAAACAGGUAGAGCUGAAAUGGGCAUCAGGGAUUUAGUACAGUUGGUGGUUGGAGACUUGGGUGGAGGCAUCUGAAAAGGAGUCGCUGCUUUUGUUCUUCGGUUGUCACUGUAUGCAUUUUCUUGGUGUCGAAACUGCGACCAAUAGUUGGUUGAUCUGUUUUCCAACGGAAGGUAGUGUGCAUUUCGGUGCGCAUGUUAUAGCCGUGGUUACGGAUCUGAUUGGCUAUUGGAGAUGGCGUACGGUCUUUGCGCUGUUUUGAGAGUUUGAAACUCGGUUUGUCAGACUAUUCAUUAGUCUUCAGAUCGGUGUUUUAAAUUUUUGUAAUAGUGUUGGUCGUGCAAUAGUCUGCAGUGACAAAUUAGGUGAUCUACCUGACCCGUCUUGAAACACGGACCAAGAAGUCCAGCAUAUGCGCAAGUCAAAGGGUCUUACGAAACCCCACGGCGAAAUGAAAGUGAAUGUCAUGUACAUUGACUGAGAUGAGAUCCCUGAAGCUUCGGCAGAAGGGCGCAUCAUCGGCCCGUAUUAAUUUUCUUCUGAAAAGAUGCGGAGCUAGAGCGCAUAUGCUGGGACCCGAAAGAUGGUGACCUAUGCUUGUACAGGUUGAAGCCAGAGGAAACUCUGGUGGAGGACCGAAGCGGUUCUGACGUGCAAAUCGAUCGUCAGAUGUGAGUAUAGGGGCGAAAGACUAAUCGAACCAUCUAGUAGCUGGUUCCUCCUGAAGUUUCCCUCAGGAUAGCUGAAGCUUGACACCAGUCGUAUCCGGUAAAGCGAAUGAUUAGAGGUGCCGGGAGCUAAUAGUCCUCAACCUAUUCUCAAACUUUAAAUGGGUACGAUGUCUAACCAGAUUAAUUUUUGGUUAGGCCAAGGAUGUGAGUUUCUAGUGGGCCAUUUUUGGUAAGCAGAACUGGCGCUGUGGGAUGAACCAAACGUUCGGUUAAAGUGCCUAACGCAACGCUCAUGAGAUACCACAAAAGGUGUUGGUUGAUAUUGACAGCAGGGCGGUGGCCAUGGAAGUUGGAAUCCGCUAAGGAGUGUGUAACAACUCACCUGCCGAAUCAACCAGCCCUGAAAAUGGAUGGCGCUGUAGCGUUGGACUUAUACCGGACCGGCAUUGCAGAACCCACAUUCUAUUAAGCAAUGUCGAGUAAGGAGGCCACCGUGGUUGCAUUGAAGCAAU